GACAAGCCGGUACGGUUGGCAUUCCUGGCUAUGGUGGCACUUGUGGUGGUGGCAGCCCUGACUACGAUGGCGAUGGUGGUUGAGAGUGCCUCGGUGCGAGAACGUAAACCCACAAACCACUCCAAUAACACUUCAGUCAUUGCAGUGCCUUCAGAUCUACUGGUGCGCCUAGUGGAGGUGACACAAUCCCUUCAUAACUUGCUGCCGCGCCGGAGUGUAAGCGACGGAAACAUUGAGGCGACCCAAGAGGCCGCUGGGCUAAAAGGUGCGUCUGGUGAGGAGCGGAUUCUUACACUUGCACUGACACAACACGCGCUGCUACAACACAGAAUGGAGGAACUUCUGACGCAAACAGGAAGGUGUCAAGCCCAGGUGGAGGCGCUGCGGGAGGACAAGGAGGAGCUGAAGAGGGAAAUUCAAGCCACGAAGGAGCGAAUGACAACAAAAAACAAAGAUUUAGGCUCGUCGACACAUGAAUUUCCCGCCAAAAGUGACCACGGUUGCAAAUGUAAACAAACUGACUCUGACGCACCCAAAAGGACUGCAAUGCUCUCUACCACUGCUACUAUCGAUACUACUACUGCAAUAACUGUCCUCACUGCUCCGCCUGGUUCUCCUGAGUCUACUACUAUCACUAAUGGCAGGAAUAGUAGCACUGGGCGGAUAGUAGACCGUGUUUCUGGUGGAGCGGUGACUGAGACUACUCCUAUUACAAUUAUUCCGACUACUACUGCUGCUACUGCUAAUGCUACUACUACUACUGAGAGUGUGGUCGUGCUUGGAUCUGGUGUAAGGUAAGUACUAUUUGUGAUACUACUACUACUACUACUACUACAACUACUACUACAACUACUACCAUUACUACUUCUAAUUAUAUUGCUGAUAUUACUUCUGUUCUACUGCUACUACUACUACU